UUUGAAAUCUGGCCUCUUUGGGGGUCCGAGUUGUAAUUUGUAGAGGAUGUUUCGGGUACCGCCCCGGUCUAAAUUUCUUGGAACAGAAUGUCAAAGAGGGUGAGAAUCCCGUCUUGGAUCGGUGGUAGGGCCCAUGUGAAACUCCUUCGACGAGUCGAGUUGUUUGGGAAUGCAGCUCAAAAUGGGUGGUAAAUUUCAUCUAAAGCUAAAUAUUGGCCAGAGACCGAUAGCGCACAAGUAGAGUGAUCGAAAGAUGAAAAGCACUUUGAAAAGAGAGUUAAACAGUAUGUGAAAUUGUUGAAAGGGAAGCGCUUACAACCAGACUUGAGCGCGGCGGUUCCCCCUUCCUUCUGGUUGGGCUACUCCGUCGUGUCCAGGCCAACAUCGGUUCUGGGGGCCGGUUAAAGGCCCCGGGAAUGUAUCUACGCCUUCGGGUGUAGACUUAUAGCCCGGGGUGUCAUGCGGCCACCUGGGACCGAGGAACGCGCUUCGGCUCGGAUGUU
rnacentral:rRNA from 1 species